AAAAUAACAUCAUUGUCCAUUGAGAUAUAGCAUAGAAAAUGGAGAAGGAAUCAACCAUUUUGCUCUCUCUUCUCGUCUUGUUAUUUUUGUUAGGUUAGGCUCUCUUGUUGGCACAAUAUUAUCCCUCUCCAAAUCACUUUUUAAUAUUUUUUAUUAUUUUUUAUCAUAUAUCUUCAUCCAUGUAAUAAUUUUCAUACAAUAACAAAUCUAACAAAUUCUCAAUCAUUUUUGACACUUCAUCCUAACAAAUUUUAUCUCAUCCUAACCAUCCUACCCCACACACCCCUACCCCACCCCAUACAAAUUCAUGUUUUUUUCUCUCCUGUGUAACGGAAUUCACUCAUACACGAACAUCACUUACACCUCACCAAUACACCAGACAUUACUUACACCUCACCAAUACACAUACAUACAGCUCACUCAAAAUGGGAAUUCCAUCACCCUCACCGUAAUCACACUCACACAACCACACACCAUUAUUUACAGACACACUCCAUUUUUUUUCCAUACACAGUACAAAUGAUACUCACAUAUACACACACAGAUCCAUAGACAUCGGGGGAAUACACACAAAAACUUUUAUUUUUUCAUGAAUUAACAACAUCACAGCAACAUAUUCACAUAUUCUCACACAAGAGACCAAACCUCUAUUUUUGAAAUUCAACAACACCCACAUAAAGAAAAUUGAAAAUGGAGAGAGAUUGAACAGUAAGAAAGAGAGAGAUCGAGAUUUCAAAAGGGAGAAAGGAAUUUGAUUGAAAAACAGAGGGAGAGUGGUCGAGAAUAGGUGAGAGAGAGAGGAGAGAAAUAGUUAAGAGAGGUUCAUUCCGACGAUCAGAGUUCGUCGGAGCUCCAUUAAAAUAGAGAGUAGCAACCCAGCUCUACGCUGUCGCGGAAUCCACCGGAAAAUGACCCAUCGCGUGUCAAUUCCAGUGAGGAUUCACCGGAAUACCACCAGUAUCAGUGACGAGGCAAAUCCCACCGGAAUAUCCCCAAAAUCUGACUAAACACCAUCGAAAACCCAUCUUAAAUGACCCAGCCUCGUCCACGAUGAACCUACAUUGGAAAUUAUGAAUGAUUUUUGUUGGUCUUCAAGAUAUUGUUGUGAUUUUGGUGGAAAACAGUGAAGCUGUACGGAAGUUUGAAUUGUUUUUAUUGGGGAUUUGAAUCGAGGUUCUUUGUCAUGGAUUUUGUCUCUUCAUUCAAAUAAUAUUGAGUGUGAAAGCUUCAAAAUAAGAUUCAAUUCUACUCUUUCACCUGUUUUAUUUCAUUGUUGAUGAUAUUUGGUACAUUAAAUUGAAUAUCGUGUUUUAAUUAAUCUUGGUUGGUGGUGAAUUGUUGCUUGUUUAAUUUGUUGUUUGACUCCCUUUGAUUAUAAAUUGUGCGAUGAAAUGAUAAUUCGUUAAGAAUUAAAAUGAGUUAUUUGGGACGAAAAUAAAAAUUGAUAAAGAGCGAAUUUAUAGUAAUUUUGAAUCAUCGAUUAUAUUGAAUGUGUUAGAAUAAUGAUAAAAUCAAAAUGAGUAGGCAAAUGAUAGGUCGGGUAGCCAAA
rnacentral:lncRNA from 1 species